ACAACAUCCGCGAAUCUAGGUUAGUUGUGAAUUUAGGUGAGUCGACGAGACGUUGUAACUUACAACGCAGAAGGAUUAACAAGAAAGGAAGCAACGGCAACUAACUGGUACACAGUGUGAUUGUUGGUGUGAUGUAUAGAGAUUGCUGGUGCCAAUGAGUAGAGUGCAUUUAGACCCUCAGUUUGGAUGCGUGCUUAUUGUCAACAGUAUUAAAGAGUAACAGAAAUUGGUAACCGUGUUGCUCAAUAAAUCACUAAAGACUUACCAAGAACCCACCCCGACCGAGAGGAUUACUUUCCUGACUUAUUAAAGGGACAUAUUAGA